rnacentral:rRNA from 1 species
GUUUGAUCCUGGCUCGAAUGAACGCUGGCGGCAGGCCUAACACAUGCAAGUCGAACGGAGUUAUAUUGUAGCUUGCUAUGGUAUAACUUAGUGGCAGACGGGUGAGUAAUGUAUAGGAAUCUACCUAGUAGUACGGAAUAAUUGUUGGAAACGGCAACUAAUACCGUAUACGCCCUACGGGGGAAAAAUUUAUUGCUAUUAGAUGAGCCUAUAUUAGAUUAGCUAGUUGGUGGAGUAAUAGCCUACCAAGGCAAUGAUCUAUAGCUGAUCUGAGAGGAUGAUCAGCCACACUGGAACUGAGAUACGGUCCAGACUCCUACGGGAGGCAGCAGUGGGGAAUAUUGGACAAUGGGCGAAAGCCUGAUCCAGCCAUGCCGCAUGAGUGAAGAAGGCCUUUGGGUUGUAAAGCUCUUUUAGUGAGGAAGAUAAUGACGGUACUCACAGAAGAAGUCCUGGCUAACUCCGUGCCAGCAGCCGCGGUAAUACGGAGAGGGCUAGCGUUAUUCGGAAUUAUUGGGCGUAAAGGGCGCGUAGGCGGAUUAGUAAGUUAAAAGUGAAAUCCCAAGGCUCAACCUUGGAAUUGCUUUUAAAACUGCUAAUCUAGAGAUUGAAAGAGGAUAGAGGAAUUCCUAGUGUAGAGGUGAAAUUCGUAAAUAUUAGGAGGAACACCAGUGGCGAAGGCGUCUAUCUGGUUCAAAUCUGACGCUGAGGCGCGAAGGCGUGGGGAGCAAACAGGAUUAGAUACCCUGGUAGUCCACGCUGUAAACGAUGAAUGUUAAAUAUGGGAAGUUUUACUUUCUGUAUUACAGCUAACGCGUUUAACAUUCCGCCUGGGGACUACGGUCGC